UACUUUCUUAUGGACCGCCGAGGUGUGUCUAUUCGUUAACAGCUAGGCCGUCCAUGAGGUCGUA
rfam:Meleagrid herpesvirus 1 strain FC126, complete genome.